GCAUAUCAAUAAGCGGAGGAAAAGCAACCGGGGGGCAUGCCUUAGUACGGCGAGUGAAGCGGCAAGAGCUCAAAUUUGAAAUCUGGUACCUUUGGUGCCCGAGUUGUAAUUUGUAGAGCAGUACUUUUGUUAUGGGCUUUGCCUAUGUUCCUUGGAACAGGACGUCAUGGAGGGUGAUAAUCCCGUAUGGCGAGGUGACCGUAGCUAUGUGAGUAUUGUUCGACGAGUCGAGUUGUUUGGGAAUGCAGCUCUAAGUGGGUGGUAUACUCCAUCUAAAGCUAAAUAUCAGCGAGAGACCGAUAGCGAACAAGUACAGUGAUGGAAAGAUGAAAAGAACUUUGAAAAGAGAGUGAAAAAGUACGUGAAAUUGUUGAAAGGGAAGGGCAUUUGAUCAGACAUGGUAGGUAGUGCCCUGUGCUCCUUGUGGGUGCGGGAAUUUCGCUGCUUACUGGGCCAGCAUGAGUUUUGGGGCCUCGACAAAGACGCUGUAAUGUAGCUUUGCACAUUGUGUUUAGUGUUAUAGACAGUGUUAAUGGGGGCACCUGGGACUGAGGUCUGCGACUUUUGUCAAGGAUGCUGGCAUAAUGGUUAAAUGCCGCCCGUCUUGAAACACGGACC
rnacentral:rRNA from 1 species